AACACGUGGGUAACGUGCCCUAAAGAGGGGGAUAACUAGCCGAAAGGCUAGCUAAUACCCCAUAUUGCUCCCGGUGAGAGGCCGGAGAGUGAAAACUCAGGUGCUUUAGGAGCGGCCCGCGGUCGAUUAGCUAGUUGGUGAGGUAAUGGCCCACCAAGGCGAUGAUCGAUAGCUGGUCUGAGAGGAUGGUCAGCCACACGGGGACUGAGACACGGCCCCGACUCCUACGGGAGGCAGCAGCUAAGAAUCUUGCGCAAUGGGCGAAAGCCUGACGCAGCAACACCGCGUGAGGGAUGAAGGCCUUCGGGUUGUAAACCUCUUUUACGAGGGAAGAAGUUCUGACGGUACCUCGUGAAUAAGCAACGGCUAACUACGUGCCAGCAGCCGCGGUAAUACGUAGGUUGCAAGCGUUGUCCGGAUUUACUGGGCGUAAAGGGCCCGCAGGCGGCUUGGCAAGUUUUGGGUGAAAUCUCGCGGCUUAACCGAGAGAGGUCUCAGAAAACUGCCAGGCUUGAAGCAGUGAGGGGGAUGCAGAAUUCCCGGUGUAGCGGUGGAAUGCGUAGAUAUCGGGAGGAAUACCAGAGGCGAAGGCGGCAUCCUGGCACUGACUUGACGCUGAGGGGCGAAAGCGUGGGGAGCGAACCGGAUUAGAUACCCGGGUAGUCCACGCCGUAAACGAUGAGUACUAGAUGUCGGGGGUAUCGACCCCCUCGGUGUCGUAGCUAACGCAAUAAGUACUCCGCCUGGGGACUACGGCCGCAAGGCUAAAACUCAAAGGAAUUGACGGGGGCCCGCACAAGCAGCGGAGCGUGUGGUUUAAUUCGAUGGUACGCGAAGAACCUUACCCGGAUUUGACAUGUAUGUAGUACUGAUGUGAAAACUGAUGGACCCUUCGGGGAGCAUACACAGGUGUUGCACGGCCGUCGUCAGCUCGUGCCGUGAGGUGUUGGGUUAAGUCUCGCAACGAGCGCAACCCCCGUCGCCAGUUAUAUUUUUCUGUCGAGACUGCCGGGAAACCCCCGGAGGAAGGAGGGGACGAUGUCAGGUCAGCGUGACCCUUACGUCCGGGGCUACACACACGCUACAAUGGGUGG
rnacentral:rRNA from 1 species